rnacentral:lncRNA from 1 species
UAUUGGUGCAAAAAUCCGCUUGCGCCGGAGAAGCUGGAGUCGGGGAAGCCGCGGUCGCCGUCGGGACCUGCAAGGGAAGUCUAAACCGGAGGUGGGGUUGCUCCGGCAAGACCCUCCGACGCUCAAGUCAGUUCUCUGCCUCAACAAGAAUGGAGUGCUCGAACGGAAAAUUUAGCAGAGUUUUGAGAUAAGAAAAAUGAGCUUAAAGAAUAACGUAUCUGGGUCCCCCUUUUAUAGGCGGAGGAGGCAACGGAUUGAUGGCGACGUUUGUAACCGUCUGGUAGUGGGCCGCCCAUGGUCAGGGGAAUUGAUUGCGAA